rnacentral:rRNA from 1 species
CACGUAGGGGGCGAGCGUUGUCCGGAAUUACUGGGCGUAAAGGGAGCGUAGGCGGCCUGUCAUGUCCUGCGUGAAAGUCGUCGGCUUAACCGGCGAAGGUCGUGGGAAACUGAUAGGCUUGAGUGCCGGAGAGGGUGGCGGAAUUCCCGGUGUAGCGGUGGAAUGCGUAGAUAUCGGGAGGAACACCAGUGGCGAAGGCGGCCACCUGGACGGUUACUGACGCUGAGGCUCGAAAGCUGGGGGAGCAAACAGG